rnacentral:piRNA from 1 species
UUACAUGAAGAAAUAUGGUUCCUAUGUGU